rnacentral:tRNA from 1 species
UCCCUGGUGGCUCAGUGGUAAAGAAUCUGCCUGCAAUGCAGGAGAUGCAGGAUGGAUCCCUGGGUCAGGGAA